AUAUCUCUGUGUAAAGUGUACAUUAUCAUUGCUUCACGCUCUCUUGGCACGGAUGAGUGUUGACCUCAACAAUUCAGUUUUUAUACUGCGCAGAUUUAGAUAUUAACGGGGCAGUUUAGUGUCACUGAUAAACAGUGAGAAAUCUCUUCAAAGUACUCCAGUCCAAUGGUUUGAGUCUGCUAUUACAAACCAUAAAAUAGCUUCUGAAUUAAACUGUAAGGUCCGGAUUACUUCAAGCUGUUCCUGGAGUGGAUCAAACUGCCAGCAAAAA